rnacentral:lncRNA from 1 species
GUGUUACGGUACAGAGUCAAUGUGGAGGCUAUAUACAGGGGGGUACCGGUACAGAGUCAAUGUGGAGGCUAUAUACAGGGGGUACCGGUACAGAGUCAAUGUGGAGGCUAUAUACAGGGUAUUACGGUACAGAGUCAAUGUGGAGGCUAUAUACAGGGGGGUACCGGUACAGAGUCAAUGUGGAGGCUAUAUACAGGGGGGUACCGGUACAGAGUCAAUGUGGAGGCUAUAUACAGGGGGGUACCGGUACAGAGUCAAUGUGGAGGCUAUAUACAGGGGGGUACCGGUACAGAGUCAAUGUGGAGGCUAUAUACAGGGGGGUACCGGUACAGAGUCAAUGUGGAGACUAUAUACAGGGGGGUACCGGUACAGAGUCAAUGUGGAGGCUAUAUACAGGGGGGUACCGGUACAGAGUCAAUGUGGAGGCUAUAUACAGGGGGUACCGGUACAGAGUCAAUGUGGAGACUAUAUACAGGGGGGUACCGGUACAGAGUCAAUGUGGAGGCUAUAUACAG